ensembl:lncRNA
GUUAGUAUUUGAGGAUGAGUGUGAACUCAUAGCUCAUUAUAUUUACUAUCAAGAUUUAUAUUACUGAUAAAUCUGAAGGAUUUUUGCAAUCUUAUUGCAACUAUAUCCUGCAUGAAAUAAUUUAAAUCAUGUUAUAAAAUGGAAAAAUGAUAGAAUUUUACAUUGUUUAUAUCUGUACUUUUUAGACAUAUAACCAAGAAAAAAAAUUGGAACUGAAAAAGAUCUGAAACAUCAUCUCAUAUAACAUUAUUUUACAGAAAUGAGCAAAGUCAGAAUCAGAAUAAUAAAGGAAAUUGUGUAAGGUCCUACAAUGAGUUGGUGUCAAUGCUAAGUCUUGAGUAGAGGACUUUUAGUUCCUUACCUGCAGACAUUUCUGAUACUUUCUCUUUGAAUGCUUGCCCUCUCCAUGAGAAAUCCUAUGUAAAAUUUGAUUUCUGGGGUAGCUAAGUGGUGCAGUGGAUAGAGUACCAGCCCUGAAGUCAGGAGGACGUGAGUUCAAAUUUGUCCUCAUAUACUUAUCACUUCCUAGCUGUGUGACUCUGGGCAAGUCACUUAACCCCAAUUGUCUCAGCAAAAAAAAAAAUUGAUUUCUGUGAAAUAUGAGGACAUUUAUGAUAUAGGAAUAAUUUGUGGUAAAUAUAAGACUGUCCCCUGACAAAAUUGGUAAUACUUUUAGGUUCUGCUUCAUUUUACAGUAGGGGUCAGAAUUAAAUUAAUAAUCAUAUCCUUUGGAGUGCCAUAUUUCUUUGCCUUUUUAUUUAUAUUUUCAGUGAUUAACUUGAUAAAUACUUAAUAAUUUCUGAUGCUGAUGAAAUGUUUUUUGUUGCUCUUGCAAAUAAAUAGCAUAUUUUUCCUUCUCCUUCCUGAGCAGAAAUUAUCUCCUAAAAGCAUGUCUGUGUUUACUAAUCAAGACUCUGUUUCAUUAUAUUGUCAUGAAUAUGUUUUUCUUUAGUAUGUUCCAAUUGUAGUUGCUUAUCAUUGUGCAUUCAGUACCAGAGUGAAUCAUGGAUAAAUCAUUCCCAUCUGGGGAGAAAAAAUGAAGGAUCAUUAGUAUUUUGUAGAUAGUCCAACUAGGUAUAUUAUUUUUCAUUUAUUUAGAAAUGGGGCAACGAGGAAAAUUUAUAAGAAAAUGAGAAAGUGCUCUAAAAGUAAAGUGCUGUACAGAUAUUAAGAAUAAUUGUUAUCCAAAAGGCAAUGUGAUGUAAGCAACUCUUCUCUCUUUGUCCCAUACACACAUAGUUUUAGUUAAGUAGUAUCAAUUGUCUAUAAAUCACACUUUUUUUUCUGGAAAAAUGAUAGCCUAAAUUUCAAAUAGCAAUUCACAGUUUAUGUGGUAUUUUCCUUAAAAGAAACCUGUAAAAAUUCCACAGAUAUUGCUGUUCCCAUUUUAAGAUAAGAAAACUAGCAGUCAGACAGAUUAAGUGACUUGUCCAUUAUCCGUUGUAGAAUAAAUUGGGAAGCUGAGAUUUGAUUCCACUUUGAAUUCCCAAGUUUAAUGCUUUCUCUACAAUACAAUGCAACAUUGGCAGAAACAUAACAAGAAGUCACAAACAGAAUGACUCCAAUUAAAACCCCCUCUAUUUAUGUUUAAAGAGAGAAGAGGAAAAUAAUCUGAUUCUUGGUUUUGGAAUUUUUAAAAUCAUUCCAUUUAUCAUUUUUAUGAUAAUGGAGAAAUUAAAAUUUUUAAAGAAGCAAAGGUUAAGGCUAGAAGGCACACCAGAGAUCAUCUAAUUUACUUUCCUCAUUUUACAGUGUCAGAUUAAGUCACAUACCUCAUUAAUGGCAGAGUCAGGAUUAUAGAUUAUGUCCCUUGAAUCCCAAUCCACUACUCUUGUCUUUUCUGUCAAUUAUACAAUAGUAUAGAUCAUUUAGUAUUGCAUAACAGAAGAGUACUAUUGCUAAAUGAUAGAAUAUGAAGGGAAACAUAACCACUUAUUCAAAGCUAAAGAUAUCUUAAGUUUUAAUAUAGCUCAUUUCAACUUCUUAAACCUCAAAGCAAAGUCAAAUUGUUCCUAUUGGUAAAACAUGAAAUUAGUGGUAUGACUUGCCUCUCUUAGAUAGUAAAAUAUCGCUGUUCAUAAACAUGAUUCAGGGAGUGAUGUUUAGGGAAACAUGUAAACGUGUAAAGAGUGUAAUUAAUCAAGAUGUGAUCACUGUGGUUAGGGCUUGUUCAGGCUUUAGAAAAGUUGCAUGUGAAACAAGCUCAUUUUCAGAAAAUCCUGAAAUAGGUCAUGCUGUUAUUGAUCUCUGCUUUAAUGUCUUCAUCUUGGAAAUGGAUGGAUGCAAGGAGACUGACCCUUUUUUUCCCUUCCUGGAUAGUUUUCUAAAGAUAGGGAGAUGGAAGCAAGAAGGAGAACGUGUUCUUUUAAUAAAAAGUCAACCAAUGUUUGCUACGUGGCUGCCGUAUAUCCCUCUGUACUAGAUGCCAUGGGUUAUAUGUAAAAAAUUGAAAACCUGGGUCUGACCUUCAAGUAGAUUCCCAUUUAUUUGAUGAGGCAAAAUGAACAUGUGUAAAACAACCAGAAAGUAACAGAUGGUCAAUAAUCAAAUGUAAGUUACAUAGUGGAAAUUCAGAGAGGAAAAAGAAAUCUUUGGGAGGUGAGAGUAGUCAAGAGAGGCUUCAUGGGAUACUCGAAAUUGGAAAUGGAAUGUGAUGAAUGGAUAGGUUUGGAUAGAUGUAGAGGUAGAAAGGAAAUAUUGAGAGGAAGUAUUGAGGAGUAGAAAGGCCUUUAAUUUUAGGCAAUAUGUUUGAAUCUCAGUUCCGAUACUCACCAACUAUAUGUUGGGCCACUUCAACUUUCUGAGUUUCAGUUUUCUCCCCUGCAAAAAAAAGGUUAAUAAUAUUUUCUCCAUCAUUCUCAGAGGCUUUUUAGAUUCUAAAACCUAUGCAAAUAUGAGUUAUUAUUAUCAUUAAUAUGUUAUCGUUAUGAUUAUCCUAUAUUGAUAGAGCAGCACAAGCAAGAUACAGAAGCCUCCCCCAUAACAAUAGUCUCAAAGUGGAUUUUGUAGGCAGCUCUCAAUAAAGAGGAAAACUUGGAAAAGAAGGCCACUUGGUGCCACCCCGACAGAAGCCAUACCAUGGAAUGUGGGGUCUCUUCUAUGAACAUGGGAUGUGAGUCAGCAGUCAGGAAGCUACUUCUCUUCAAGAUGGAACUUCUCUGUCCCGAUUUCUCUUUCAUACUUUUCUGGUGCAACCUUGAACUGUUAGAUGUACCCAAAAAGGGCCUUGAGAGCAAGAGAAAAUUGAAUUCCAUGACUUCUAGAAACUAUUUCUGGGGAGAAAGAGAAUGAAGAGAGGUAAUUGUGGGACAAGGCAAAAAAGGAAAGAGAACUGCAUGUCCCCUCCAAAUGGACAUAUUUGCUCAUAUGGCAGGGCUGACUCUCGUUAUUACUUAGUCUUUUGUGUUGAAAAAACAAUAAUUUUACUUUCCUCUGGCACUAUCACCAUCCCUUACCACCAUCAACAUGCAUUUCUUCUAUACUUGAUAUCCACUUUUCUCUCAACAGCAAGAGGGAUCUGAUCCCCAUCUUCUUUAAAGUUCACAUGUACAAAAGAUCUCUCCCUGUGUCAUAUAAGGAGGUGGCCCUUGGGGAAGCUGGAUGAAAUCUCAUGUGUUCUGAUCUCGUUGUGAGAGCAACUAGGGCAGUGGUCCUCAAAGUGUAGUCCAAAGAAUUGUUGGGGUCUCUGAAACCCUUUCAGAGGGUCUACAAAUUCAAAAUUAUUUUUUAUUUCUAAUAUAGUAAAUAGCUAUAAAUAUAACCUAUGUGAACAAAAACUCUUUGAACAGAUCCUUGAUAGUUUUUUAACAACAUGAAGAUACUGAGAACAAAAGUUUGAGAACCACUGAACUAGGGUAUCUGUGCUGUUUGUGAGAUAAAAGUGAUGAUAUGUAAUCACCCCCUGGGGGAAAGUGCCCAUAGGUAAAGUGCCCACAGUUGCCACAAGCUUACUUUUCAAGGAAGAAUCUUCUUGUCUUUCAGACCCUAAGCAAAUGUGUGAUUUGUUUUGCAGCCAGAUAGAUACAUAUCAGGGUCCUCUAAGUUCAUAGGUAGAAGUAUAGGACCUGAGCAAAUAUAAUGACCAAAGUCAUUGAUGACUGACUGAGAGUGAGGGUAGGGCAGAAUUGCCUAUUGUAAAUGGAGCACUUCCUUCCUCUAUCUACAAAAGGAAUAUAUUAAUUGUUUUUCAGCUUGGUGUUACUUAGGUGGCAAAAGAAUUCCUGUGCCUUCAUAUUUUGUUUUAUUUUCUCUGUCAUUUCUUUUGCCUGUUGUUUUCCUACUAAGAUCCCAACUACUCUGAAUUGCCUUUUUUUCUAAUUUGUGGAAAUUUGCUUUGUUCCAAGUACACAUGUUUUCUUUUUCAGAAAAAAGACAUGAAAUUAUUUUUUGUUACUUUUUGGUAAUCAAGUUAGGUUUACACUAGGACUACAAGGAUGGUUCAGCAUUAGGAAAAAAAAACUGAAAAUGAUCAUAGGAAAACAAAACAAAAAUCUCAAAUCACAUGAUUUUAUCAAAAGAUAAAUAUUUCUUGACAAAAUACAGUGAUCAUGUGCUAUAAACAGAAGAACCAUUUUAAUGAUGGUCAAGAGUACAUACCUAAAAUAAAGAAACUAGUAUUAUAGGCAAUAGUAGAAGCUUUCUGAGUAAAUACCCCACUUUUAUUUUAUGUAGUUCAAGAAAUAAUAGUGAUAGCAAGAAGUGGGGGAAGGAACUGAAGGAAUAAACACCAGCAAAGAGGAAAUAAAACUAUCCCUAUCUUUGAUGAUGUAAUGGUUUACUUAGGAAAUCCUAGAGAAUUAUUAUUCUUUAUAGCUUUUAGCCCCGUGUCAACUCGUGAUUUAAAUAAUUUUUUGAUGCCAAUUAAACAUUUUCCCUGCUCUUCUUGUAAACAAGCAGCAAUCACACAUCCUUCCUUAAACAGAAAUGAUCAUUUAAAGGCUUGACUGUGUUCAUCAGCCAAAUGUGUUUCUCGACCAGACCAUGCCAUUGUAUUUAAGAAUGUUCUCUCAGCGUGUUGCUUUGGCACACUGAGCAUAGUCUGGCCUGGGAGGGAGUUUACACCUCAGAGAUAAUAAUUGAAGUAAGGAAAUAUAACACUCUCCUUUGCAAAACACUCCCCAUUUCACUUGACUUGUACAUUUAAGACACAUCCAGUUCUAGUGACUCAAAUACAGUGAGGAAUGAUCUCAUGAUGAUCAGGAUUUUAGUAUGUGACUUUCUUUGUUUUGCUAUUUUGGGUUUAUUUUGGCCCUUCUCAACACUCUCCGCUGCCUAGAAAGAAGCUAUUGGCACCCUUGCAGUGUUUAUAUUUUGCAGCCUCUUAGGUUGAAAUUGUUAGUUCAAAAGCUGUAAGCUCACAUUUCAGCUCCGACAGCCCUUCCCCCUUUGCAGAUAUGUCCAGAGUGUUGUUUUCCUCCACAGCAGAAUGUCCAACCACCUCUGAACUUACUUCCUCUUAUUCUGAUCAGGAGAGUUUAGCCACUAUCAGGGAUCAUGCGGCAUGGUUACACACAGUGUGCCUCUGUGGGAAAGGACUCACCUCACUUCACAAAAAGCAGAACCUGCUGGGUAAAUAUUGAUCAAUUUCCUGAUUGUUGGGGCUUAGAAAAGAAAAAAAAAAUGGAAUCAAUUAUGGCAAUUUAUUCUCCCCAGAUCCAAGUUGCUGUUUCUUAAAUAGACAGGGAAAUGUCAUCGGAGUGCUUCAAAACAGGUGAGAUACAACUUGGUUGAGAGUAUCCCUUAAGGUUUUCUUCAAGUAUAUGAAAUAAUAGGACUAUAUGUUAAUUACAAGUACCUGUCCCAAUAGACUGUCAAUUCUUAAGCAUUUUUUCCCCUGAAGCAAUUGGGGUUAAGUGACUUGCCCAGGAUCACACAGCUAGGAAGUGGUAAGUGUCUGAGGUCAAAUUUGAACUCAGGUCCUCCUGAAUUCAGGGCUGGUGUUCUACCCACUGCACUACCUGGCUGCCCUUCCUAAAGCUAUUUUUAAGUUAAAAUAUCACCAAUGCUACCAUUAGUUUUCUAAUAUUUCUUCUUCAUUCACCCAAUCUUUUAGACUAGAUUCUUGGAAAAGAAAUGCCCUGGAAAAAGAUAAGAGAAACAGAAUCUGCUCUCCCUCUCCUUAUAGACAGGCUGUUGAUAAGAUAACAGACAGAUUACUAAUGAUUCCCACUCACAGAAGAAGAAAGCAUCAGCAAAGGCUCCCUAAAAAGGGGCAUGAAAAUCUCAAGUUCUUUGUCUCCCCUUGUAUUCAGAGAUUUAUUUAUACCUAUUCUCUCCCUCCUUCCUUUCAUUUUUGGUGAGCAUAACUCACCAAGAAAUCCACCAUUUUUUUUUUUUUUGCCAGUCUUAAUUUUGUUGUUGUUGUUUUUUAUAUUUUUUUUCCGCAGGAGACUCUUGGCUUGAAUAAAAAGGCUGUACUGAAAAGUAUGUGCUUUUUCAGUUAGAAAUUUGUAUUUUCACUUAGGGACACCCACAGAAAACAAACCCUCAAUUUUCUAAUUUCUGUUAGAACACAAAUUUUGUUUGAUUUUCCCAUCUUGCCUCUGUGAACUGAGAACUUUGAGGGUGUGGGCUGGAGAGAAUUGGGGGAAAAUACUGAGGCUAAGUGUUGCCAUUCCCAAAGUUAUUUGUGUGUCUAUUGGAAAUAGGACUUCAGGGUGAUGGCAUAUUCCUGCAUUACUUUAGCUGCCUUAUAAAGGCUUUUGUUCUCUUCUGAGAUAAAAUGCUAACAAACAGGAAGUUAAAAAAAAUACCGUGGGCAAUUGUUCUUAAUGUUGUUAUUCUUAUAAAGUUUUAGUUGUACAUUUAGCGUGGUCCUAUUCCAAAGGGUUCCUGUAGGGGGCAUUAUUAAUAAAGGAAUCAAGAGAGAUAAGGUCUACUGCUGACUAUUCCAGCAGCCAAUUAACUAUAGACUGCCGGACUGACCCCCAAAAUCCAAAUAGCUCAUUGCAAAAUCUAAUAACCAAACUGAAAUG